GCCAGCCUAAGCCGAGAUGGCGAACUGGAGCAUCUCGAAGCUGCGCUCCUGCUUGCCUUCCCCACGUUCCUGGUGGAGAGGGUGGCCUCCAGCUCUUGUUCACAGCUGCUGCUGUGCAGAAGACGCCUCAGCUGAUUCCACCCGCCAGAGCCGCCACUGCUGGGAGUGCUUUCCCUUUGCUUCAUUUUCAGCCCAAGCAUGAAUUCAAGCCCCUGCCCUUACCUGUAGGAAGAAUUCCAGGAGCUCCUUUCAGGCCCCAGGCCCAACCAAAAGAGGCUUGGGGCCUGUCUGACUCUUGUCAAUCUCCCGUGUCUCAGAGAAUGGUGCAUACCAUGCCACCAUCUCCUUCAGGUUCAAGCCAGUACUAUAAUGCUCAGGCCAUGAGAAAAGCCGAGGCUGUGCUCCCAGGCAUCCCCAAGCAUGAGAACUUGGAUCAGUGCACUGGGCAAGAGUCCGUGACACCGCAGCAGGAUUCCUCAGUGUUUAUAAAGCCAGGAAGUGUAUUCGAUGUUACACCAAGGCCCCCUGAGACGGCUCUUCAGAAUUCUUUUGGACUUCCUUUAUUACACCUUCAGUUUAAGCCUUCUUAUGUAUUCUCCAUGCCAUCGAGAGCGGCAUUAGGUAGCUUUCCCUCAGUACCUGGCACAGAAGGAACAAAACAUCCUCAACUAUCAUUACUUCAUCCAUGCUUGCCGCCAGAGAAUACG
rnacentral:lncRNA from 1 species